rnacentral:tRNA from 1 species
AAAGGUAUAGCUCAGUAGAAGUGUGUGUGCUUAGCAUGCACACAGUCCUGGGUUCAAUCCCCAGUACCUCCA